ensembl:piRNA 21ur-2090 ncRNA
UUAAGACGAGUGCAGUCAAUG